CCUACGGGUGGCAGCAGUGAGGAAUAUUGGUCAAUGGACGCAAGUCUGAACCAGCCAUGCCGCGUGCAGGAAGACGGCCCUACGGGUUGUAACCUGCUUUUAUACGGGAAUAACGCGCCUUACGUGUAGGGCUUUGCAUGUACCGUAUGAAUAAGGACCGGCUAAUUCCGUGACAGCAGCCGCGGUAAUCCGGAAGGUCCGGGUGUUAUCCGGUUUUAUUGGGUUUAAAGGGAGCGUAGGCCGCAUGUCAUGCGUGCUGUGAAAUGUCCGGGCUCAACCCGGGCCUGGCAGCGCGAACUGGCGUGCUUGAGACCGCGGAAAGCAGGCGGAAUGCGUCGUGUAGCGGUGAAAUGCUUAGAUAUGACGAAGAACCCCGAUUGCGAAGGCAGCUUGCUGCAGCGGAACUGACGCUGAUGCUCGAAAGCGCGGGUAUCGAACAGGAGUAGAUACCCGUGUAGUC
rnacentral:rRNA from 1 species